rnacentral:rRNA from 1 species
ACUACGGGUGGCAGCAGUGAGGAAUAUUGGACAAUGGACGCAAGUCUGAACCAGCAAUGCCGCGUGCAGGAAGACGGCUCUAGGAGUUGUAAACUGCUUUUGUAGGAGGGUAAACGCAGAUACGCGUAUCUUUCUGAAAGUAUCGUACGAAUAAGGAUCGGCUAACUCUGUGCUAGCAGCCGCGGUAAUACGGAGGAUUCAAGCGUUAUCCGGAUUUAUUGGGUUGAAAGGGUGGGUAGGCGGCAGGUUAAGUUAGAGGGUAAAGCCCGGGGCUCAGCUUCGGAAUUGCCUCUGAAACUGUCCGGCUAGAGUGUAGUUGCGGUAGGCGGAAUGUAUGGUGUAGCGGUGAAAUGCUUAGAGAUCAUACAGAACACCGAUUGCGAAGGCAGCUUACCAGGCUACUUCUGACGUUGAGGCACGAAAGCGUGGGGAGCAAACAGGAUUAGAUACCCCGGUAGUC